CCGCCGGUUUGUUUACAGAGACUCCGGCAACGGUCCUAUGAGUCAGAAAUUCAAGCCACCAGAUGCUUUCCAACUAACAGGGAGCAAAUGGUACGGUUCUGCGGGGCCCUGAAGGAUCUGGGGGUGAGGGGCAGUCAGCUCCGAGAACUGCAUUACAAAGGGAACGAGACCGGACGGCAGCAACCGACUUGGACCUCGGCCUUCCGUACAAGAGGCGGUUCAGAGAAGGCCCUCUGCUGAGGUGACAUUUGAAUAAAGAUUUGAAGUGAGAGAGUGAAUCGUAUACACUGGGGGAAGAACCUUCUAGGCAGAGGAAAUAACAAGGCCACUUCUCGCUCGCCACAGUGGAUGAUCACCUACGCCGUCUAAAGACCUACUUACUGGUUGAGAACCUGCCCUCCUCGCCGAGCUUCAGGACCACUCCAGAUGGGGCUGCCGAGAAGCAAGCGUCCAUAUUUGGCUUGCCCUAAAGCAUCAAACCAACUCCUCCACGAACCAGACUUGGACUUUUCGUCGUCGUUGAAUCAAGUGGUUGCAGUUCUCAUGCUGCCACAGGGAUGGGCUAGGACAAAGCUCUCAGGGUGACAGAUGUACAGAGCAUGGGGAACCGGGGACCCUUGUUCAGUUUAACUUACUCGUGCCCACCACGUCUGCUUGGGGCUUCAUCCCAAACGUGCCGCUUCCACGGUGAGACGAAUCGCCAUCGUACCCACCCGAUCUUAGGACUUGGCAGGUCUCACAAUAACCAGCUGGUUCUAUGGGCAGCUGGUCACACAGUCACUUGGUAUUUUGUGGUCAAGCACCGAGCCUCUAUCAGGGCCUAAUCGUAUGCCAGGAGAUGCUUUUCAAAUGAUGAAACCUUCUUUACUGCAGAUGGCAUAACCUUCCUCCAGAACCCGAGAGAUCUAUGCUGGGACUCUCCUACCGUGGACAGCCCGAGAAUCCACACAUCAUCUUUUCCUACCACAGUACCUCUAGCACUGCGGAAUUUUCCAGGCCACACGGCCACUGCUGUGGGGCUGCUGGUAUCACACCCGGGAUCUGCUGCAGAGGCCUUUCCUGCAUUCCCAAGCAUGAAUAUGGUGCCUCCAAAAUAAAGAGGCCUGCGAAGGCACUGUGCUGCUUUCUUGGGGUAAAAUACACGAGAUGCAUUACUUUAGAGAGAAUAUCCCAGAACGCUCCAGAUCACUGGACUCCUAAAAACUGAACCAACGUGGCAGGACUGAGCGUCUUUGCAGGAUUUAUUUCCCACCCUCCAGAGCGUGUCUCCCCAAGGAACUCGGAAUACUUGACACUGCUUGUUCAGCGGGUCUGAUUAGCAUAUCCUUGAUUCCGGAGUAGCUUAGGCUUGACAAAGCACAUGAGUGUGAUAUUCUGCAGAACGGACGACACGGUGACAGUGGGGGGGAAUUAUCACCGCUCCAGAUCGAGACCGUGCCCCUCACUCGUGAAUGCAAACUGCCUCUGACGCUCCUUGAAGAACGUAUCCACUAGGCCGGGGGUUGUGUGGAGGGUCAGACGGUGCGCACGAACAGCUGUGAACCUUCCUCUCGCACAGAAAACGCACCGACUCAGCACCGCCUGGCUGAUCACCCACCCGACUUCGCGGCAGUCCGGUGCGGUCCGCCUCGGGCAGCCCAGUUACACAAGAGCCAGACACAUGAAAUUACAAGAGGAAGUGGUGGAGACCCACACCCCGGCACCCCUCUACCUUUUUAAGCAUUGAACUAAUUACUGCCACUUUCCCCAGAAUGCAGUACUUUUCCUUUCUUACCUUGGCAGAGGUGGGUGGGCAGUUUCAGGGGCUUCUACUUGGGCUUUCUACCAACUGCCAAGUAUAUCCAUUCUAAAUUUUU